CAGUAGCCGCGGGAAUACGUAGGUGGCAAGCGUUGUCCGGAAUUAUUGGGCGUAAAGGGCUCGCAGGCGGUUUCUUAAGUCUGAUGUGAAAGCCCCCGGCUCAACCGGGGAGGGUCAUUGGAAACUGGGAAACUUGAGUGCAGAAGAGGAGGGUGGAAUUCCACGUGUAGCGGUGAAAUGCGUAGAGAUGUGGAGGAACACCAGUGGCGAAGGCGACUCUCUGGUCUGUAACUGACGCUGAGGAGCGAAAGCGUGGGGAGCGAACAGGAUUAGAUACCCCAGUAGUCCCUGUCUCUUAUAC
rnacentral:rRNA from 1 species